rnacentral:rRNA from 1 species
AGAGUUUGAUUAUGGCUCAGAUUGAACGCUGGCGGCAGGCCUAACACAUGCAAGUCGAGCGGAAGCACAAAGCAGGCUACUUCUUAUGUGGCACAGCGGGGGACGGGGGAGUAAUGCCUCUGGAUCUGCCCCCGCUAGGGGGAUAACACUUGGACACAACUGCUAAUACCCCACACCCCCUACAAGGGGAGAGAACGGGACCUUCUGGCCUUCCGCAAUUGCAUAAACCUAAGUGGGAUUUUCUAGAUGGUGAGGUAAUGGCUCACCACGAUGACAAUCCCUACCUGUUCUGAGAUGAUGAUCACCCGCACUGGGACACAGACACGACCCCCACUCCCACGGGAGGCAGCGAAGGGGAAUAUAUCGCAAAGGGGGAGACCCUGAUACGCCCCUGCCGCGUGUGUGAACAACGCCUUCUGGUUGUAUAUCACUUUCUAUGAAGGGGAAAAGGUGUAUAUUUUUACGCUAUAUCUGUGACGUUACCUACACAACAAAGACACGCUAUCUCCCCGCCCGCACCCCCGCUAAUACGUGAGAGUCCCAGCGUUAAUCACAGUUACUGGGCGUAACGCGUGCGCACGCGGUUUGUGAAUCGAGAUGUGAAAGCCCUGUGCUCACCACCAGAAUACAAUUUCGCACUGGCGAACUAGAGUCUUGUAGAGGGGGGUAGAAUUUCAGGUGUAGCGGUGAAAUGCGUAGAGAUCUGAAGGAAUACCGGUGGCGAAGGCGGCCCCCUGGACAAAGACUGACGCUCAUGUACGAAAGCGUGGGGAGCAAACAGGAUUAGAUACCCUGGUAGUCCACGCCGUAAACGAUGUCUACUCGGAGUUUGGUAACUUAGUUACUGGGCUCCCAAGCUAACGCAUUAAGUAUCCCGCCUGGGGAGUACGGCCGCAAGGUUAAAACUCAAAUGAAUUGACGGGGGCCCGCACAAGCGGUGGAGCAUGUGGUUUAAUUCGAUGCAACGCGAAGAACCUUACCAUCCCUUGACAUCCACAGAGAUUUCCAGAGAUGGAUUUGUACCUUCGGGAACUGUGAGACAGGUGCUGCAUGGCUGUCGUCAGCUCGUGUUGUGAAAUGUUGGGUUAAGUCCCGCAACGAGCGCAACCCCUAUCCUUAUUUGCCAGCGCGUUAUGGCGGGAACUCUAAGGAGACUGCCGGUGAUAAACCGGAGGAAGGUGGGGACGACGUCAAGUCAUCAUGGCCCUUACGGGAUGGGCUACACACGUGCUACAAUGGCAAGUACAUAGGGCAGCAAUACCGCGAGGUGGAGCGAAUCCCAAAAAGCCGGUCUCAGUUCGGAUUGGAGUCUGCAACUCGACUCCAUGAAGUUGGAAUCGCUAGUAAUCGCGUAUCAGCGUGACGCGGUGAAUACGUUCCCGGGCCUUGUACACACCGCCCGUCACACCAUGGGAGUGGGUUGCAAAAGAAGUGGCUAGUCUACCCUUCGGGAGGACGGUCACCACUUUGUGAUUCAUGACUGGGGUGAAGUCGUAACAAGGUAACCG